AACCAAUUUUGGGACGUCCGAUAAAAUUGGAAUGACGCAAAGAAGAUUAACAUGACCCUACAAGGAUGCCACACAUAAAUCGAAAAAUGGUCCAUUUUUUA